UACGUAGGGUGCAAGCGUUGUUCGGAAUUACUGGGCGUAAAGGGCUCGUAGGCGGCCAACUAAGUCAGACGUGAAAUCCCUCGGCUUAACCGGGGAACUGCGUCUGAUACUGGAUGGCUUGAGUUCGGGAGAGGGAUGCGGAAUUCCAGGUGUAGCGGUGAAAUGCGUAGAUAUCUGGAGGAACACCGGUGGCGAAGGCGGCAUCCUGGACCGACACUGACGCUGAGGAGCGAAAGCCAGGGGAGCAAACGGG
rnacentral:rRNA from 1 species